rnacentral:rRNA from 1 species
GGCGAACGGGUGAGUAACACGUGGGUAACCUGCCCAUCAGAAGGGGAUAACACUUGGAAACAGGUGCUAAUACCGUAUAACAAUCGAAACCGCAUGGUUUUGAUUUGAAAGGCGCUUUCGGGUGUCGCUGAUGGAUGGACCCGCGGUGCAUUAGCUAGUUGGUGAGGUAACGGCUCACCAAGGCCACGAUGCAUAGCCGACCUGAGAGGGUGAUCGGCCACAUUGGGACUGAGACACGGCCCAAACUCCUACGGGAGGCAGCAGUAGGGAAUCUUCGGCAAUGGACGAAAGUCUGACCGAGCAACGCCGCGUGAGUGAAGAAGGUUUUCGGAUCGUAAAACUCUGUUGUUAGAGAAGAACAAGGAUGAGAGUAACUGUUCAUCCCUUGACGGUAUCUAACCAGAAAGCCACGGCUAACUACGUGCCAGCAGCCGCGGUAAUACGUAGGUGGCAAGCGUUGUCCGGAUUUAUUGGGCGUAAAGCGAGCGCAGGCGGUUUCUUAAGUCUGAUGUGAAAGCCCCCGGCUCAACCGGGGAGGGUCAUUGGAAACUGGGAGACUUGAGUGCAGAAGAGGAGAGUGGAAUUCCAUGUGUAGCGGUGAAAUGCGUAGAUAUAUGGAGGAACACCAGUGGCGAAGGCGGCUCUCUGGUCUGUAACUGACGCUGAGGCUCGAAAGCGUGGGGAGCAAACAGGAUUAGAUACCCUGGUAGUCCACGCCGUAAACGAUGAGUGCUAAGU